AUACGUAGGGUGCAAGCGUUAAUCGGAAUUACUGGGCGUAAAGCGUGCGCAGGCGGUUUUGUAAGACAGUGGUGAAAUCCCCGGGCUCAACCUGGGAACUGCCUUUGUGCAUGCCAGGCUAGAGGACGGCAGAGGGGGGUGGGAUUCCGCGUGUAGCAGUGAAAUGCGUAGAUAUGCGGAGGAACACCGAUGGCGAAGGCAAUCCCCUGGGCCUGUACUGACGCUCAUGCACGAAAGCGUGGGGAGCAAACAGGAUUAGAUACCCUGGUAGUCCACGCCCUAAACGAUGUCAACUGGUUGUUGGGUCUUCAUUGACUCAGUAACGAAGCUAACGCGUGAAGUUGACCGCCUGGGGAGUACGGCCGCAAGGUUGAAACUUAAAGGAAUUGACGGGG
rnacentral:rRNA from 1 species